rnacentral:rRNA from 1 species
CCUACGGGAGGCAGCAGUGAGGAAUAUUGGUCAAUGGGCGGAAGCCUGAACCAGCCAAGUAGCGUGCGGGAUGAAGGCCCUACGGGUCGUAAACCGCUUUUGCACGGGGAUAACACCCUCCACUUGUGGAGGUCUGCAGGUACCGUGCGAAUAAGGGCAGGCUAAUUCCGUGCCAGCAGCCGCGGUAAUUCGGAAGGCCCGAGCGUUAUCCGGGUUCAUUGGGUUUAAAGGGAGCGUAGGUGGGCGUUCAAGUCAGCGGUAAAAUCGCGCGGCGCAACCGCGCCCCGCAGUUGAAACUGGACGACUUGAGUGCACAACAGGCAGGCGGAAGUCGUGGUGUAGCGGUGAAAUGCAUAGAUAUCACGAGGAACCCCGAUUGCGAAGGCAGCCUGCCGGGGUGCGACUGACGCUGAGGCUCGAAGGUGCGGGUAUCAAACAGGAUUAGAUACCCCAGUAGUC